CCUACGGGGGGCAGCAGUGAGGAAUAUUGGUCAAUGGACGAGAGUCUGAACCAGUCAAGUAGCGUGAAGGAUGACUGCCCUAUGGGUUGUAAACUUCUUUUAUAUGGGAAUAAAAUGUUCCACGUGUGGGAUUUUGUAUGUACCAUAUGAAUAAGGAUCGGCUAACUCCGUGCCAGCAGCCGCGGUAAUACGGAGGAUCCGAGCGUUAUCCGGAUUUAUUGGGUUUAAAGGGAGCGUAGGUGGAUUGUUAAGUCAGUUGUGAAAGUUUGCGGCUCAACCGUAAAAUUGCAGUUGAAACUGGCAGUCUUGAGUACAGUAGAGGUGAGCGGAAUUCGUGGUGUAGCGGUGAAAUGCUUAGAUAUCACGAAGAACUCCGAUUGCGAAGGCAGUUCACUGGACUGCAACUGACACUGAGGCUCGAAAGUGUGGGUAUCAAACAGGAUUAGAUACCCGGGUAGUC
rnacentral:rRNA from 1 species